rnacentral:rRNA from 1 species
GACGAACGCUGGCGGCGUGCCUAAUACAUGCAAGUAGGACGCAGUUGCGAACGGGUGCGUAACGCGUAGGUAAAUACCUAUCAGAGGGGGAUAACUAUGGGAAACGAUAGCUCAUACAGCAUACUAGUAGAUGGACCUGCGUUGUAUUAGCUAGUAGGUAGGGUAAUGGCCUACCUAGGCAACGAUACAUAGCCGACCUGAGAGGGGGAUCGGCCACACUGGGACAGGGACACGGCCCAGACUCCUAGGGGAGGCAGCAGUAGGGAAACUGCGGCAAUGGGGGGAACCCUGACCGAGCAACGCCGCGUGGGUGAAGAAGGUUUUCGGAUCGUAAAGCUCUGUUGUUAAGGAAGAGGUACUUAACCAGAAAGGGACGGCUAACUACGUGCCAGCAGCCGCGGUAAUUC